rnacentral:rRNA from 1 species
UACGGAGGGUGCGGGCGUUAAUCGGAAUUACUGGGCGUAAAGGGCGCGUAGGCGGUUAGGUAAGUCGGGUGUGAAAGCCCUGGGCUUAACCUGGGAAUGGCAUUCGAGACCACCUAGCUAGAGUCUGGUAGAGGGAAGUGGAAUUUCCGGUGUAGCGGUGAAAUGUGUAGAUAUCGGAAGGAACACCAGUGGCGAAGGCGACUUCCUGGACCAAGACUGACGCUGAGGCGCGAAAGCCAGGGGAGCAAACGGGAUUAGAAACCC